AGUGAACGCUGGCGGUAGGCCUAACACAUGCAAGUCGAACGGCAGCACAGUAAGAGCUUGCUCUUACGGGUGGCGAGUGGCGGACGGGUGAGGAAUACAUCGGAAUCUACUUUUUCGUGGGGGAUAACGUUGGGAAACUUACGCUAAUACCGCAUACGACCUACGGGUGAAAGCAGGGGAUCUUCGGACCUUGCGCGAUUGAAUGAGCCGAUGUCGGAUUAGCUAGUUGGCGGGGUAAAGGCCCACCAAGGCGACGAUCCGUAGCUGGUCUGAGAGGAUGAUCAGCCACACUGGAACUGAGACACGGUCCAGACUCCUACGGGAGGCAGCAGUGGGGAAUAUUGGACAAUGGGCGCAAGCCUGAUCCAGCCAUACCGCGUGGGUGAAGAAGGCCUUCGGGUUGUAAAGCCCUUUUGUUGGGAAAGAAAAGCAGCAGGUUAAUACCCCGCUGUUCUGACGGUACCCAAAGAAUAAGCACCGGCUAACUUCGU
rnacentral:rRNA from 1 species